rnacentral:rRNA from 1 species
AGCAUGAACUUAGCUUGCUAAGUUUGAUGGCGACCGGCGCACGGGUGAGUAACACGUAUCCAACCUGCCGAUGACUCGGGGAUAGCCUUUCGAAAGAAAGAUUAAUACCCGAUGGCAUAGUUCUUCCGCAUGGUAGGACUAUUAAAGAAUUUCGGUCAUCGAUGGGGAUGCGUUCCAUUAGCUUGUUGGCGGGGUAACGGCCCACCAAGGCAUCGAUGGAUAGGGGUUCUGAGAGGAAGGUCCCCCACAUUGGAACUGAGACACGGUCCAAACUCCUACGGGAGGCAGCAGUGAGGAAUAUUGGUCAAUGGGCGCUAGCCUGAACCAGCCAAGUAGCGUGAAGGAUGACUGCCCUAUGGGUUGUAAACUUCUUUUAUAUGGGAAUAAAGUGCAGUAUGUAUACUGCUUUGCAUGUACCUUAUGAAUAAGGAUCGGCUAACUCCGUGCCAGCAGCCGCGGUAAUACGGAGGAUCCGAGCGUUAUCCGGAUUUAUUGGGUUUAA